GACGAACGCUGGCGGCGUGCUUAACACAUGCAAGUCGAACGGAAAGGCCCUGCUCUUGCGGGGUGCUCGAGUGGCGAACGGGUGAGUAACACGUGAGUAACCUGCCCUUGACUUUGGGAUAACUUCAGGAAACUGGGGCUAAUAUCGGAUAGGAGCUCCUGCUGCAUGGUGGGGGUUGGAAAGUUUCGGCGGUUGGGGAUGGACUCGCGGCUUAUCAGCUUGUUGGUGGGGUAGUGGCUUACCAAGGCUUUGACGGGUAGCCGGCCUGAGAGGGUGACCGGCCACAUUGGGACUGAGGUACGGCCCAGACUCCUACGUGCGGCAGCAGUGGGGAGUAUUGCGGAGUGGGCGGAAGCCUGAUACAGCAGCGCCGCGUGCGGGAUGACGGCCUUCGGGUUGUAAACCGCUUUCGCCUGUGACGAAGCGGGAGUGACGGUAAUGGGUAAAGAAGCACCGGCUAACUACGUG
rnacentral:rRNA from 1 species